rnacentral:rRNA from 1 species
GACAGAGGAUGCAAACGUUGUUCGGAAUUACUGGGCGUAAAGCGCGUGUAGGCUGCUCUGCAAGUCGGAUGUGAAAGCCCUGGGCUCAACCUAGGAAGUGCACUCGAAACUGCGGAGCUUGAGUCUCGGAGAGGAUCGCGGAAUUCUCGGUGUAGAGGUGAAAUUCGUAGAUAUCGAGAGGAACACCGGUGGCGAAGGCGGCGAUCUGGACGAUGACUGACGCUGAGACGCGAAAGCGUGGGGAGCAAACAGG